GGUAAGAUGGCUCAGUGGUAGAGUGCUUGCCUUGCAUGCAUGAGGCCCUGGGUUCGAUUCCUCAGCACCA
rnacentral:tRNA from 1 species